AGAUCCAAUGAUUUUAAAUCACAUUUUCAGAUUUGACUUAAUGUGUAGUGUCCAUCUCCAUUCAUUCCCUUAGUAGAUCAAGAAUGUCAUGCUAUAGAAUGUACCUCUUUUUUAUUGGAGAAGAUGAUUCUGUUUCCAUUUUGAUAUCAGGUUCAUAAGCAGGGUGUUGCACUUGGAAGAUCUGUUGACUUGACAAAGUUUGAUGGUUAUGACCAAUUGAUCGAGGAGUUAGAUCAGCUAUUUGAAUUCAAAGGAGAAUUGAUGGCUCCAAAUAAAAAUUGGAUGAUUGUAUUUACUGAUAAUGAGGAUGAUAUGAUGUUUGUUGGAGAUGACCCUUGGCAGGAAUUUUGUGCUAUGGUUCGUCAGAUUUUUAUAUACACAAAAGAGGAGGUCCAGAAGAUGGAUUCAAGUACCUUGAACCCAAAAAAUGAAGAUUGUCCUGAUAUGAAAGAGAAUGUCAAGGAAAUAAAAGGCAGUCAAUCUGCAUCAUCAUCUAAUUCAAAAAACUCAUAGGCUUAUCCUGCAAUAUCACUAUCAAGGAAGAAUGUUCAAAGGAAAGUACAGGCUAGGGAGAAGAUCACAUAAUUAACUACACGGGUCUAGUGAAAAUACUGAAGAAGUAUGACAAGAGAACAGGAGCACUUAUCAUGCA